CGGGCUGUAAUUCAACUUAAAACGAAUUUCUGUGCACAGAAUGUUCUGGAAUCCGGUUAAAGUGGAAGAAAAGACGUGGUUUCUGUGAAAGUUUCGCUAAAUUUACGGCUUCCGGCGGGAAAUUUGAUGGUUAAAGUUGACGUCGGUGUAACGAGGAUUAGUGUUGACCGACCGAACAUGUGCUGAGAUGCCUUCCUACAGCUUUCUGGAUAACUUGGAGCUUUUUAUCCGGACAGGAAAGUUUCCUGGAAAUGCUUCAACAAGCUCAAAGAAAGUGACCAAAGCUGCCAGCAAACACUUCCUCUACAAAGAUGGCUCUCUGUGGCGAACUUAUCGAGGCCGCCUCCUCCGUGUCGUCAGGAGCGACGAGGAGGUUCGGGACAUCCUGCUGCGUUACCAUGACAACAACAACCACGCUGGCCGAGUUCGGAUGGUGAAGGAGAUCAUGCUCUUGUAUUAUUGGGUCGGAGUGACGGAGGCCGUGAAGAAGUGGAUCAAAGCCUGCACCGUCUGUCAGAACCGACCUCGCCCCGAACCUCUGGACCCGCCCGUCCACUUCUGCCUGGUUUACGGCUGCGAUGCCUCCAGUUACGUUCACCCCGAGCUCAGCUUCCACAGGUUUCCAAAGGAGGCGGAGAGGCGGCGGACGUGGCUGGCGGUGGCUCAGAGGGACGAAGGUUCGCUCAGAUCAAACUCCUACAUCUGCUCACGACACUUUGACUCAUCCUGCUUCAACCUGAGCGACGAAGGUCAACGGAUGCUGUCAUCAGACGCUGUACCGACCAUCGUACCGCAAACUACUAAAGAGGACGAGGUGGUUGUCCCUUCGGAGGAUGAAUUUCUUCCCUCCAACACCCUGGAAGACCUUCUGUCGAUAGCUGCUGCUGCAGAAACCCCAGAAUCCUCUGGUCCGGCCUUAGAAGCCCCAGUGGGGCUGCAGGAACACCAGUACUGCCUCCCAGCUCCUGAUCCAGACUCCAUGGAGGUCCAGACGGUGAGGGACCUCAAGAAGAGGAAGACCAUCGUGGAGCCAAGCUUCUCCACUUACAACCAUAUUGCCAGGUAUCUGAGCCACCGAGUCUUACCUCUGCAGAGCAAGAGAAGCAGAGGGGCUUUAAAACGGAUGUCCAAGCGCUUCGGCCUGAUAGACGGAGAGCUGAUGUACACCAGAGUAUCUCCACCUGUCAGAGUCCCACGCAGCAGAGAGGAGGUAAACUCCAUCCUGCAGCAGUUCCAUGAUAACCAGGGUCACUACGGUCAGGGAAUCUGCCAGCGAGAGAUCUCCAAACACUUCUACUGGGCCAGCAUGAGCUGCGACUUAUCCACCUGGAUCUCCAGCUGCAACACCUGCCUCACCAGGAGCAAGAGAAAGUGGCUUCGCUGCAGCGUCAUCAGCUGCAGCAACUGCUGCGGGCCGGUGGAGCGAGGCCUUGGACUCACCUUCCACAGGUUUCCUCUCCAUGACGCCGCCCUGCUGGCUCGCUGGCUGAAGGCCGUCGGACGUUCUAACUGGCUUCCUCGGCUGCGGUCGUCCGUCUGUUCCACUCAUUUCACUGAGGACUGCUUGGACCGGCGUGGGGAGAAGGUGGUCCUCCGUCCAGAUGCUGUUCCUACCCUCAUGGUCCACGGAGACUCGAUGACAUCCAGAGGUCAGAACCAGCCUGCAGGACAGGAGGAGGCCUUCUUUGCCAAAUACGACGCCGUGGAGCUUUACCUGAGCAGACGCACCUAUCCGCCCGGACUGAGCUACGUGGAGAAGAACACCUUCAGGAGGUUCUGCAAGAAAUUCACCAUGAAAGACGACAAGCUUCACUCCACCAGAGGAGAUCGACUGCGUUUGGUUCUGAGGAGUCGGCAGCAGGUUGAAGCCGCUCUGACCGAUUACCAUGACGAGCUCAAUCACCUGGACGUCAACAAAUGUCUGCGGCUGCUCAACGAGAGGUAUUUCUGGAAAACCAUGAAAUCGGAUGUGAUCCAGUGGAUCGACGGCUGCUUCCAGUGCAGCAGGAAGAAGAACCCGGAGACGCUGCUGCACGCGCUCAGAUCUCCUCCAAUCAGCAGCGUCAAAGACGACCAGACCGAUGAUGCUGAUGAAGGAGAGAACAGUGAAGGAGACAGCGAACGGCUGAAUUCAGACACAGAGGAUGGACCUUCAACCCCCAUCAGCCCUCAGACCAGGAUCCCCAUCCUCCUCCACCUGAGAACUCCCAUCAGCCUCCAGUCCAGGACUCCCAGCGCCCCCCUUGUUUCCAGACCAUUGUCUGUCCAGAGCAGCUCUGAGAGCCACGUUCAGGUCCAGGAUCCAGAAGAAGACCAGAGAGAAUGCAGCAGCUCUCAGUGUGUCCGACCUGCUGCAGAUCCUCCUCCAGAGAAAACUCACCGUCCAGGUGAACCACAGGCUCAGAUCCCAGCACAGAACCGGUCCAGAGUUCAGCACCCAGCAGAGACCAGGAGAACCAGUGGUCUGGAGCCCGUCGUGGCCCCGAGUAACAAACCCUGGCCGGUCUUCACCAUCGCUGGUAAAACCCUGGCAAAGACAGGAAGACCAGGUGCUGAGGUGGACAGCUCGUCGGCGUUCCGGAGCUGCAGCAGGCUUCAGGCUCGGACCGUCAUCCAGCAGUGCAGCUCGGCCAAGGUGAAGAUCCGACCAGCUCUGGAUGGAGGAGACGCUCAGUGGGCCGAGAUCCAGGAGGGAAUCGUUGUCUACGUUUGUUUUUUCCACGGAGCCACUGAAAAUGUCACAUAUCAGAUGGCCAACAGUCUGAUGAACACCAAGUUCUUCCGGAGGGACCGUGGACACUCGGUGUCGCUGCUCGACCUCCCCGGCAGCGUUCUGUUGGUCCCCCAGGACUCGCUGCUGGCCGAGCCGCCGGUCCGGAGGAGGAUCCGGUUCAGAGGCGGCUGUGAGCUCUGGAGAGCCGCUCAGCUGCUGUCCGGCCUGGCGUCGGCCUGCAGGGAGCUCAUGGCAGCCUCCAACAAAUGCACCGAGGCGGGAGUGAAGGUGGAGCAAGGCGUCUACGGACAGAAACAGGAGAUGGUCCUAAAGGCCGAGGAGCCGCUGACGCUGCUGCUGGACUUCUGAGCUUCAGCAGCUUCUGGAGAACAAACGGGAGCUUGUCGGGUUCCAGCUUUCAGACAGCAGCAGAUGGAGAUGAUCAGAGUCCUGAGCAGCAGUGGACUGAGAUCACCCAAUCACAGAAGAAAAUCUUUAUUUUGUUCAGCCAAUAGGAAACUAGCACCACUUCUAACCUCUGAUUGGAUGGGCAGACUGCAGUCAACCUCUCAGAGCUUCCAAUGGUAGUAAAAGUGCAAAGAGAAAUCCCAGGAGCUGCUGUUCCUCCUGUACUGAUGGAACGCGAGUCUAAGCCAGCUGAGCGAACAUCUGAACCACUGCUGGACCUUCAGGCUCUUCUGAACAUCUGAACCACUGCUGGACCUUCAGGCUCUUCUGAACAUCUGAACCACUGCUGGACCUUCAGGCUCUU